rnacentral:rRNA from 1 species
UACGUAGGGGCAAGCGUUAUCCGGAUUUACUGGGUGUAAAGGGAGCGUAGACGGCGAUGCAAGUCCGAUGUGAAAACCCGAGGCUCAACCACGGGAUUGCAUUGGAAACUGUAUUGCUUGAGUGCUGGAGGGGCAAGCGGAAUUCCUGGUGUAGCGGUGAAAUGCGUAGAUAUUAGGAGGAACACCAGUUGCGAAGGCGGCUCUCUGGACUGUAACUGACACUGAGGCACGAAAGCGUGGGGAGCAAACAGGAUUAGAUACCCCCGUAGU